CGUUGAAGCAUGAUCGUAAGGACAUGUGGAGCGCUUAGAAGUGAGAAUGCCGGUGUGAGUAGCGAAAGAUGGGUGAGAAUCCCGUCCACCGAUUGACUAAGGUUUCCAGAGGAAGGCUCGUCCGCUCUGGGUUAGUCGGGUCCUAAGCUGAGGCCGACAGGCGUAGGCGAUGGAUAACAGGUUGAUAUUCCUGUACCACCUAUAAUCGUUUUAAUCGAUGGGGGGACGCAGUAGGAUAGGCGAAGCGUGCGAUUGGAUUGCACGUCUAAGCAGUAAGGCUGAGUAUUAGGCAAAUCCGGUACUCGUUAAGGCUGAGCUGUGAUGGGGAGAAGACAUUGUGUCUUCGAGUCGUUGAUUUCACACUGCCGAGAAAAGCCUCUAGAUAGAAAAUAGGUGCCCGUACCGCAAACCGACACAGGUAGUCAAGAUGAGAAUUCUAAGGUGAGCGAGCGAACUCUCGUUAAGGAACUCGGCAAAAUGACCCCGUAACUUCGGGAGAAGGGGUGCUCUUUAGGGUUAACGCCCAGAAGAGCCGCAGUGAAUAGGCCCAAGCGACUGUUUAUCAAAAACACAGGUCUCUGCUAAACCGUAAGGUGAUGUAUAGGGGCUGACGCCUGCCCGGUGCUGGAAGGUUAAGAGGAGUGGUUAGCUUCUGCGAAGCUACGAAUCGAAGCCCCAGUAAACGGCGGCCGUAACUAUAACGGUCCUAAGGUAGCGAAAUUCCUUGUCGGGUAAGUUCCGACCCGCACGAAAGGCGUAACGAUUUGGGCACUGUCUCAACGAGAGACUCGGUGAAAUCAUAGUACCUGUGAAGAUGCAGGUUACCCGCGACAGGACGGAAAGACCCCGUGGAGCUUUACUGUAGCCUGAUAUUGAAAUUCGGCACAGCUUGUACAGGAUAGGUA
rnacentral:rRNA from 1 species